GGCAAGGUGGCCGAGUGGUCUAAGGCGUCCGACUCAAGUUUCAAACUUAGUUUGUGAUCUAACACGAGCUUGCAUUCGAAUGUGGUUAACACGCGUGGGUUCGAAUCCCACCCUUGUCA
rfam:Trichophyton interdigitale MR816 cont1.164, whole genome shotgun sequence.